rnacentral:rRNA from 1 species
UUAAGCGACUAAGCGUACACGGUGGAUGCCCUGGCAGUCAGAGGCGAUGAAGGACGUGCUAAUCUGCGAAAAGCGUCGGUAAGGUGAUAUGAACCGUUAUAACCGGCGAUGUCCGAAUGGGGAAACCCAGUGCAAUUCGUUGCACUAUCGUUAACUGAAUACAUAGGUUAACGAGGCGAACCGGGGGAACUGAAACAUCUAAGUACCCCGAGGAAAAGAAAUCAACCGAGAUUCCCCCAGUAGCGGCGAGCGAACGGGGAGCAGCCCAGAGUCUGAAUCAGCUUGUGUGUUAGUGGAACGGUCUGGAAAGUCCGACGGUACAGGGUGAUAGUCCCGUACACCAAAAUGCACAGGCUGUGAACUCGAAGAGUAGGGCGGGACACGUGGUAUCCUGUCUGAAUAUGGGGGACCAUCCUCCAAGGCUAAAUACUCCUGACUGACCGAUAGUGAACCAGUACCGUGAGGGAAAGGCGAAAAGAACCCCGGCGAGGGGAGUGAAAAAGAACCUGAAACCGUGUACGUACAAGCAGUGGGAGCACCUUCGGGUGUGACUGCGUACCUUUUGUAUAAUGGGUCAGCGACUUAUAUUCUGUAGCAAGGUUAACCGUAUAGGGGAGCCGCAGGGAAACCGAGUCUUAACUGGGCGUUAAGUUGCAGGGUAUAGACCCGAAACCCGGUGAUCUAGCCAUGGGCAGGUUGAAGGUUGGGUAACACUAACUGGAGGACCGAACCGACUAAUGUUGAAAAAUUAGCGGAUGACUUGUGGCUGGGGGUGAAAGGCCAAUCAAACCGGGAGAUAGCUGGUUCUCCCCGAAAGCUAUUUAGGUAGCGCCUCGUGAAUUCAUCUUCGGGGGUAGAGCACUGUUUCGGCUAGGGGGUCAUCCCGACUUACCAACCCGAUGCAAACUACGAAUACCGAAGAAUGUUAUCACGGGAGACACACGGCGGGUGCUAACGUCCGUCGUGAAGAGGGAAACAACCCAGACCGCCAGCUAAGGUCCCAAAGUCAUGGUUAAGUGGGAAACGAUGUGGGAAGGCACAGACAGCCAGGAUGUUGGCUUAGAAGCAGCCAUCAUUUAAAGAAAGCGUAAUAGCUCACUGGUCGAGUCGGCCUGCGCGGAAGAUGUAACGGGGCUAAACCAUGCACCGAAGCUGCGGCAGCGACACUAUGUGUUGUUGGGUAGGGGAGCGUUCUGUAAGCCUGCGAAGGUGACCUGUGAGGGUUGCUGGAGGUAUCAGAAGUGCGAAUGCUGACAUAAGUAACGAUAAAGCGGGUGAAAAGCCCGCUCGCCGGAAGACCAAGGGUUCCUGUCCAACGUUAAUCGGGGCAGGGUGAGUCGACCCCUAAGGCGAGGCCGAAAGGCGUAGUCGAUGGGAAACAGGUUAAUAUUCCUGUACUUGGUGUUACUGCGAAGGGGGGACGGAGAAGGCUAUGUUAGCCGGGCGACGGUUGUCCCGGUUUAAGCAUGUAGGCUGGUUAUCCAGGCAAAUCCGGAUAAUCAAGGCUGAGGUGUGAUGACGAGGCACUACGGUGCUGAAGUAACAAAUGCCCUGCUUCCAGGAAAAGCCUCUAAGCAUCAGGUAACAUCAAAUCGUACCCCAAACCGACACAGGUGGUCAGGUAGAGAAUACCAAGGCGCUUGAGAGAACUCGGGUGAAGGAACUAGGCAAAAUGGUGCCGUAACUUCGGGAGAAGGCACGCUGGUGUGUAGGUGAAGUCCCUGCGGAUGGAGCUGAGACCAGUCGAAGAUACCAGCUGGCUGCAACUGUUUAUUAAAAACACAGCACUGUGCAAACACGAAAGUGGACGUAUACGGUGUGACGCCUGCCCGGUGCCGGAAGGUUAAUUGAUGGGGUUAUCCGUAAGGAGAAGCUCUUGAUCGAAGCCCCGGUAAACGGCGGCCGUAACUAUAACGGUCCUAAGGUAGCGAAAUUCCUUGUCGGGUAAGUUCCGACCUGCACGAAUGGCGUAAUGAUGGCCAGGCUGUCUCCACCCGAGACUCAGUGAAAUUGAACUCGCUGUGAAGAUGCAGUGUACCCGCGGCAAGACGGAAAGACCCCGUGAACCUUUACUAUAGCUUGACACUGAACAUUGAGCCUUGAUGUGUAGGAUAGGUGGGAGGCUUUGAAGCGUGGACGCCAGUCUGCGUGGAGCCAACCUUGAAAUACCACCCUUUAAUGUUUGAUGUUCUAACGUUGGCCCCUUACCGGGGUUGCGGACAGUGUCUGGUGGGUAGUUUGACUGGGGCGGUCUCCUCCCAAAGCGUAACGGAGGAGCACGAAGGUUAGCUAAUCCUGGUCGGACAUCAGGAGGUUAGUGCAAUGGCAUAAGCUAGCUUGACUGCGAGCGUGACGGCGCGAGCAGGUGCGAAAGCAGGUCAUAGUGAUCCGGUGGUUCUGAAUGGAAGGGCCAUCGCUCAACGGAUAAAAGGUACUCCGGGGAUAACAGGCUGAUACCGCCCAAGAGUUCAUAUCGACGGCGGUGUUUGGCACCUCGAUGUCGGCUCAUCACAUCCUGGGGCUGAAGUAGGUCCCAAGGGUAUGGCUGUUCGCCAUUUAAAGUGGUACGCGAGCUGGGUUUAGAACGUCGUGAGACAGUUCGGUCCCUAUCUGCCGUGGGCGCUGGAGAAUUGAGGGGGGCUGCUCCUAGUACGAGAGGACCGGAGUGGACGCAUCACUGGUGUUCGGGUUGUCAUGCCAAUGGCACUGCCCGGUAGCUAAAUGCGGAAGAGAUAAGUGCUGAAAGCAUCUAAGCACGAAACUUGCCCCGAGAUGAGUUCUCCCUGAGACUUUAAGUCUCCUGAAGGAACGUUGAAGACGACGACGUUGAUAGGCCGGGUGUGUAAGCGCAGCGAUGCGUUGAGCUAACCGGUACUAAUGAACCGUGAGGCUUAACCUU